rnacentral:rRNA from 1 species
GGGAAUAUUGGACAAUGGGCGAAAGCCUGAUCCAGCAAUGCCGCGUGUGUGAAGAAGGUCUUCGGAUUGUAAAGCACUUUCGACGGGGACGAUGAUGACGGUACCCGUAGAAGAAGCCCCGGCUAACUACGUGCCAU